AACGAACGCUGGCGGCAUGCCUAACACAUGCAAGUCGAACGAGACCUUCGGGUCUAGUGGCGCACGGGUGCGUAACGCGUGGGAACCUGCCUUUAGGUUCGGAAUAACUCAGAGAAAUUUGAGCUAAUACCGGAUAAUGUCUUCGGACCAAAGAUUUAUCGCCUUUAGAUGGGCCCGCGUUGGAUUAGCUAGUUGGUGGGGUAAAGGCCUACCAAGGCGACGAUCCGAUAGCUGGUCUGAGAGGAUGAUCAGCCACACUGGGACUGAGACACGGCCCAGACUCCUACGGGAGGCAGCAGUGGGGAAUAUUGGACAAUGGGCGAAAGCCUGAUCCAGCAAUGCCGCGUGAGUGAUGAAGGCCUUAGGGUUGUAAAGCUCUUUUACCCGAGAUGAUAAUGACAGU
rnacentral:rRNA from 1 species